CCUACGGGGGGCAGCAGUGAGGAAUAUUGGUCAAUGGUCGGGCGACUGAACCAGCCAAGCCGCGUGAGGGAUGAAGGUACAGAGUAUCGUAAACCUCUUUUGUCAGGGAACAAAGGCGGGGACGUGUCCCCGGAUGAGUGUACCUGAAGAAAAAGCAUCGGCUAACUCCGUGCCAGCAGCCGCGGUAAUACGGAGGAUGAGAGCGUUAUCCGGAUUUAUUGGGUUAAAGGUGUGCGCAGGCGGUCUGUUAAGUCAGCGGUCAAAGCCCGGGGCUCAACCCCGGCCCGCCGUUGAAACUGGCAGUCGCGAGUUGGAGAGAAGUAUGCGGAAUGCGCGGUGUAGCGGUGAAAUGCAUAGAUAUCGCGCAGAACUCCGAUUGCGAAGGCAGCAUGCCGGCUCCACACUGACGCUGAGGCACGAAAGCGUGGGUAUCGAACAGGAUUAGAUACCCCAGUAGUC
rnacentral:rRNA from 1 species